CUCCGCUCCCCGUCCACCAUCCCAGCGUGAUGGCUGGGAGGACCGCGCCUGCCCCCUCCCCUCCUUCUCUCUCACGCCCUACUCCCUCGCCGCCCCUUCAUCCCAGAUCUCGUCAUGGGCGCUACCAUGACCAACAGUUCGGUGGAGCAGGCGCCGCACGCUACGCCAUGGGACGGAGCCCGUCCCCACCCGACACCGACCACCUCCACCCCGAGCCCGUCCGAGAAGUGAGUGAUUUCCAUUUCUUCGAUUGGAUGGCGUGCGGUCGGGCCUCCGCACCUCCCUGUCCCCCUCCCCUCCUGCGGCGAUAGCUUCCUCGAGGAGAUGAGCGUGCCGCCCCCAUGAUCGGUCUACCUCCGCCGCCCCCGCGCGCACCGCAACCACCACGCCCCUCGUGCACCUUCUCGCCCGAGACUGCAUUGGAGAAUGGCUACACAAAGAUCAUGCUGCCAACAUGUGCUUCUGGAAUAGCAUGCCCUAUGCUAUCUGCAACUAUAAAGGCUAAGCUUUACCAGCCGAUGUCCUGUAUGUCGAUGCACGAUGGGAGGUACUUGUGGUUCUUCAACUUCAUGGUUGUCUGGCCUAGCCGCCAUCCGCCCGCGCAAACGCGGUACAGCUCCACUACAGCAGCAGGAGGCGGUGACGUCGCCAAAGGCUGGCAGAUACUUGAUGGCUCUUGAUAAGAAGCCUAUUGCAACUAAAGGCCACCACCUUUGUUGUCCUCACCCUAGCCGAGGACCUCAUCUCCCAGAUUCAGUGGCGACAAAAUGGUCCAUUAGUGGAAACACCAAGCAUCAUGGAGAGCUGUUUCGUCAGGAGCUUCGAACGCGAGCCAUAGACGGGGAGUUGAUGCCACUGGGCUUAUGGGCUCUUCUUUUGGGCACCAAAGCAAAGAGCAGUGGAUAAUAUUUGGAAUGGUCAUAAGUCAAACUAGACUUCCCUAGCGACAGCGAUUCAACGAAUAAGAACCAGGCCAACAUGUAGUGAGACCGAGAGCAUGAGGCUUCAGUACCUGUCUACUAACAUCAGAUGCAUUAGUUGAUGUCUUGAUUAGUUGUAGCAGGGAACCAGCUUCCAGUGCCUCUUGUACCGAUCAUCAGCAAGGGAGUGCUAGAGGAGGAGGUUAUGGUGAGUUUUGUCGCGACUAAUGGUGAGCCCACGACUACGGCCACAUCAAAGCUGGUCUGGUGGAACCUCGUGGAGCAGAUGACGAUGACGCCGACAUCCUGCACCUCUGCUGCGACGCUGCCGACCAGGACGCGGGCCCCUCCGUCGCGCGCGCUCUACAAGUCUGGAUCCAUCAUCGUGCUCGGCAAGACUGACUUCCUUAGGCCAGACAUGGAUCCCAUAACCAGAUGGACAGCCACAAAGAAAAGUGGCCUGAUUAGCUACAAGAAGCUCUUGUUCCAUGGACUCGAUCUCUGGACCGCACUAUCGUUGCCUCAACCCCUAGGUCGUGCUGCCCUCUGGCCUCCUCAUCGUACAAUUCACCAACAUCUCCAACGUAAGUGCAGCAGGUUCAGUAAUGAACUCAAAAGUGGCAUCAGAAUACUCUAAGAGUUUUUUGUUCUUUUUGCCUGGAUAUAUACCGAGGGCAAUGCAUUCAAAACUCCUAUAGAUGACGAAUCCCAUCUCUCCCUCUUUUCCCGGACAUCGAUCCCAGUCUCUUCUUCAAGCAAGAGAUGGAGCUUUCCUUGGUCGGGCUCCAAAAUGCUAGGAAAACAUCACUUGCAGCAGCUCGCAGCGACACCCCCGCCUCCUCAUCAUGGAAGCUACAAGAACACUUUGAGUAGGUGAAGAGGAUUUGCGACACUACCACAUUGUCUUUGGCCAUGCAUCAUCUCAGUGAUAAGAUAACAAGCCAACUAGAUAUUUCAAAAUUGACUGACAAGCUACAGUAAGGGAAGGUAGACUCAACUGCAUUGACACCAAAGGAGAAGUAUGAAACUUGGAAGGAGAUUAAAAUUAUGAGUUUCAGAAAAAUAGUUUCUCCAAUGUGGGCAAUGACAUUGCUUAGCUUGUAUGUUAGAGUUCAUGUCACCAUAUUAGGCAGAAUCUGACGCCUUUAAUGUAAAUGGACACAAGACCUUCGUUGCAAUGGAUGAUUAUCUUGUCACUGACAAAAUCACUGCAUUCAUAGUGCAAACGCAACAUGCAGCAACUGAAGUCCUUAAAGAAAAGCAACCAAAAGACUGUAUGAAAUGGACCAAGUAUUGCAGACAAUAUUACAAAUAUUGGACACGUUCAUGGCUCUUUCUGAAGAUACUCAUGGAGAAAUUAUCUUGUACCUGAGAAUCCCCCUUAUUUUUGCACAAUUGAUGGUUGUGUCCUGUAGUGGCUUUGAUAAUUCAUCACUCCUAAACGAUUUUAGAAAGCUAUACCAACUAAUGUGUGGAGGACCUGGGCAAGGGGUGGUAGUCGCGCUGGUUCGCUAUCCACGGCGGCAAGCCGCCUACUCGAAGAUCCCACCUCCGAGGACGCCGCUACGGGGAGGACAUGGGCACUAAUCUUGAACUAAAACUAGGGGGGUGUCUAUGUAAGUUAAUACUUUCUCUCACAUUUGCAUCAAAAUUUGUUUUCCGAUAAUCAACAGAUCUUGACAUGUUUCUAUGUACUUUCUCUCACAUUGAGAGUUUUUU